rnacentral:rRNA from 1 species
UACGUAGGGUGCAAGCGUUAAUCGGAAUUACUGGGCGUAAAGCGUGCGCAGGCGGUUAUGUAAGACAGUUGUGAAAUCCCCGGGCUCAACCUGGGAACUGCAUCUGUGACUGCAUAGCUAGAGUACGGUAGAGGGGGAGUGGAAUUCCGCGUGUAGCAGUGAAAUGCGUAGAUAUGCGGAGGAACACCGAUGGCGAAGGCAGCCUCCGUGGGAUAACACUGACGCUCAUGCACGAAAGCGUGGGGAGCAAACAGG